rnacentral:rRNA from 1 species
GAGCUCUCCCAUAUGGUCGACCUGCAGGCGGCCGCGAAUUCACUAGUGAUUGUUUGAUCCUGGCUCAGAUUGAACGCUGGCGGCAGGCUUAACACAUGCAAGUCGAACGGUAACAGAGAAUAGCUUGCUAUUCUGCUGACGAGUGGCGGACGGGUGAGUAAUGCUUGGGAAUUUGCCGAAAGGUGGGGGACAACAGUUGGAAACGACUGCUAAUACCGCAUAAUGUCUACGGACCAAAGGUGGCCUCUAUUUAUAUGCUAUCGCCUUUCGAUGAGCCCAAGUGGGAUUAGCUAGUUGGUAAGGUAAUGGCUUACCAAGGCGACGAUCCCUAGCUGGUCUUAGAGGAUGACCAGCCACACUGGAACUGAGACACGGUCCAGACUCCUACGGGAGGCAGCAGUGGGGAAUAUUGCACAAUGGGGGAAACCCUGAUGCAGCCAUGCCGCGUGUGUGAAGAAGGCUUUCGGGUUGUAAAGCACUUUCAGCGAGGAGGAAAGGGUAAUGGCUAAUAUCCAUUAUCUGUGACGUUACUCGCAGAAGAAGCACCGGCUAACUCCGUGCCAGCAGCCGCGGUAAUACGGAGGGUGCAAGCGUUAAUCGGAAUUACUGGGCGUAAAGCGCGCGUAGGUGGUUAAUUAAGUCAGAUGUGAAAGCCCAGGGCUCAACCUUGGAACUGCAUUUGAAACUGGUUGACUAGAGUUUUGUAGAGGGUGGUAGAAUUUCAGGUGUAGCGGUGAAUGCGUAGAGAUCUGAAGGAAUACCAGUGGCGAAGGCGGCCACCUGGACAAAGACUGACACUGAGGCGCGAAGGCGUGGGGAGCAAACGGGGAUUAGAUACCCCGGUAGUCCACGCAGUAAACGAUGUCUAUUAGAAGUUUGUGGCUAUGUGCCGUGGGUUU